UUGGUCCGAUUGGGGCCACGGACGUUCCCGAUUGGCAGGGGCGGAGACGAGGCCGCACCCCCGCGGGGUGAGAGGCGGAUGGCGUGGAAGAGGAACGCGGAGGAACCUGGGGAGCUUAAGCCAAGAGGGACGUGGCGCUCUGCGACGCUGGCGGGGAAGCCGCGCCCCUUCCUUCUCUAGCUUUCAUGGAGAAUCUUGCGAAGCAGGAUUUGGGCGGGAUCUCACAGAACAUCAACUGGCCAAGUUCUUCGUUGUCUUCAAAAGAGGAGAGAGGGAGGCAGGAGUAUAUACUGACAAGAGACAAGUGGCCUGGCCUUAUCUGAUGCUGAUGUUCUGUGAAAUAGCUCAUGUUCAGCAGAAGACCAUCAAGUCCUACCUGUGAGUGCCAAGCCGGCUCUUAGCAACACUGAGCUCAGCCCAGCAACUGAUAGCACCAGGCCAGUUCUUGGAUGUCAGGGACUGUAUUUUUUUGGUUUUUGGUUUUUUUAAAUUAAAGUGAUAUAGAAGUAGUGUUAGCUUAUUUGGUCAGUAAACCUCCUUAGGUUUAGGAAAAACAAAUCCCAAGUAGAACAAAAUGUACAUUUAUUUUUUACCUAACACUGAUAAAUUAGAGAAAAGAUA